rnacentral:lncRNA from 1 species
GACUACAGAACACAGAGAUCAAACGAGGGCAAUCAGGGAGGAAUCCUGUUGGUGUUCUCUCUUACUCGGUUCGAGUUGUUUGGCUAGAAAAAUCAUUCUCUCAACCCGAAAGAAGCUUAAAUAGCAACACUGUAAUUACCUACUGUUGCAUGUGACAGGCUUCUCUGUAUAUGUGGGGAUUCUGUUUGUGUAUGAUGUUGCUAUUUUCUUUUUUAUUUCAGGGAAAAUCCAGAAAACAUCAGCAGCUCUUAAAAUAUUAUUUAUUCACUUUAAUUGGAAAAUAGUAGUAUAAUAUUCUACAUAAGACUGGUUCUGCAUAUACAUUGAUCAAACACAAUAUUAUGACUUUGUUUCUACACCCAUUAUAUAUUUUUUAGCUCGACUGAGCAUAUAGGAGCACAUUGUAUUUUUUAUAACUAUAGUCUGUAAUCCGGUUUCUGUUUCUCUGCAUACUUCAUUGUCCUCCUUUCACCCUGUUCUUCACUGGUCAGCAUCUCAUAGGACCACCAGAGAGCAGCAAUUAUCAUUUGGGUGGUGGGUAAUUCUUAGCACUGCAGUAACACUGGAAUGGUAGUGAUGUGUUAGUGUGUUAGAGAAUGACAAAAACAAACUGUGCAGCAAAAGAUGAGCUUCUGUCUCUGAUUUUACAUCUACAAGGUGGAGCAGCUACAGUGGGUAGGAGUGUCUAAUAGAGUAAAAAUUGAUGAGACACAGGGUUUAAGAACUCAAGCAGCACUGCUGUGUUUGAACACACUAACACAACACUAGCAGUCUGUCACUGCAGUGCUGAGAAUGACCUAUCUUUAGAACAAGGUGAAAGGAGGAUAAUAGAGUACUAUAUUUUUUGGACUAUAAGGGGCACUUAAAAUACUGUAGUGAACUGAGGGGGCGGGGAGAUGAGUGAACACGUGUUGAAAAAUACUGGCAAUAUAAGGAACACCUAAGGGGUCCUCAAGGGGGGGCACGGCCAGGUAGACGUGAGAGGAAGCGCGUGCUGCCGGAUGAGACGCUGGUGUGGCGUGCUCUGGGAGAGUGCACUGAACUCUGUUUGCCUCGGCGUGAACCAAGGAGAAGACUGAACUUUUAUGGGACUUUGAUGAACUACAGCGAGUGUGCGCUCCGGACUCUGUAUCUAUCGCAUCUGAACGUCUCGUCACCCAGCGGUGAGAUCUGCUGAAUUAGAAGGAAAGCAUGGUGAUACCCCUGUUCCUAACCAGUGCCACUUAAAAUGCGCAUUAUAAUCCGGUGCGCCUUGUGUAUGAAAAAUGUUUUUUUAUACACAAGGAAUAUCAGGAACAACCCUGAUGUUUUUUGAUGCACCUUAUAAUCCGGAUGAAAAAAAUAUGACAAACCAAGUCUCCCUGAAGCUGCGGGAGUCUCCCGCAUUUCGGUAGUGGCUCCCGGAUGCCCGCGAGUCACAUAUAAUCUCCCGGAAUUCAGAACAAGCACAAACGCGCACACAGGCGACAGACUUUUUUUCUCUAAUCGCGUGUGGGAAGGAGAGAGAGAAAACAGAGAGGGUUCUGAUUGGCCUGUUCUCUGCAAAGUGUCUGUGAGACAGCCAAUCAGUUUUUAGUGUGGGCGGGCAGUGUUUUUCCCCCCUCCCGGACCGGAUUUGUUCAGAGAGUGAGAGAAAGCAGAUCAUGGCGGAGGCAAUAUUAAUAAUUAUUGUAAUAUGAUAUGAAAUGUUUUUGAUGUUGUGCAAUUUCUUGUGAUAUUGUUACUGUCAAUUUUUGUCAAAUAAUUUUUGCCUUCCAAAAAGAAAAAAGAUAAAACUCAUUU